rnacentral:rRNA from 1 species
AGCGAACGCUGGCGGCAGGCCUAACACAUGCAAGUCGAACGAAGUCUUCGGACUUAGUGGCGGACGGGUGAGUAACACGUGGGAACGUGCCUUUAGGUUCGGAAUAACUCAGGGAAACUUGUGCUAAUACCGAAUGUGCCCUUCGGGGGAAAGAUUUAUCGCCUUUAGAGCGGCCCGCGUCUGAUUAGCUAGUUGGUGAGGUAAUGGCUCACCAAGGCUACGAUCAGUAGCUGGUCUGAGAGGAUGACCAGCCACGUUGGGACUGAGACACGGCCCAAACUCCUACGGGAGGCAGCAGUGGGGAAUCUUGCGCAAUGGGCGAAAGCCUGACGCAGCCAUGCCGCGUGGAUGAUGAAGGUCUUAGGAUUGUAAAAUCCUUUCACCGGUGAAGAUAAUGACUGUAGCCGGAGAAGAAGCCCCGGCUAACUUCGUGCCAGCCGCCGCCGUAAAAC